rnacentral:tRNA from 1 species
UCUACCAAAGGAUAAUAGCAUUCCACUGGUCUUAGG